rnacentral:rRNA from 1 species
AUGAUGAGAUUCCCCCCUCAAAGGUCGAAGGGUUGGGGGUUCGGCUCUCCUGCUGGGAUCCCUGCAAACACUAUCGUGCAGGGCCAACGAGCGGCCAACACGAAUAGAUCAGGAUCGAUAGAGAAUUGUCCUCUCACGUGGACCAGCAUCUACGGUGUUCUUCGGCAUGGAAGGAGCUCCUGCGACUUCAUCCAUAGGACAUGUAGGUUUCAGUGUCAGGAAUUUUGGCAUGAUAAAUCCUCAACGAAUGUUAUUCGAACGAAGAAAUUUGUAUGCUCAAAGGCAAGUUUCAAGGACAAGAGCAAGGAACAAUGCCAGCGGAAGCGAGCAGAUACAAGAGUUGGCUGUCUGGCAGAGAUGACCAUCAAAAUAAGUGCUAACGGAAAAUAUGUUGUAAGCAGCUUGGAGGAUGCCCAUAAUCAUGAACUCGUAACUCCAAGCAAAUCCCAUCUACUGCGAUCCCAAAGAAGAAUUACAGAAGCUCAGAAGGCCCAGAUUGACAUAUUGAAUGAUUCGGGUAUUAGACCUAAAUCUGGUCAUGAAGUGAUAAAUGAAGAGGAUAUGAUGACCAAUAUAUUCUGGGCAGAUGCAAGAUCAAUAUUAGAUUAUCACUACUUUGGUGAUGUGGUAUGCUUUGACACAACCUUUAAGACAAAUAGUUAUGGACGACCAUUUGCCCCUUUUGUUGGUGUCAACCAUCAUAAACAAACAGUGGUUUUUGGAGCUGCAUUAUUGUACGAUGAAGCAGCUGAUACGUUUGAAUGGUUAUUUGAAACAUUCAAAAGGGCUAUGUCAGGAAAAGAACCAAAAACAAUAUUGACCGACCAAUGUCCUUCCAUUAUUAGUGCCAUUGACAAGGUUUUUACCAAUUCAAUACAUCGUCUAUGUGUGUGGCACAUGUAUCAGAAUGCUGCAAAAGAUUUGAGUCAUGUUUUCCAAGGUUCGAAGACAUUUAAGAAAGAUUUUGAUUUAUUCAAGCACUAUAAGAGGGCCGUGGAUGAUAGAAGUGGUCGUACUGCCUCUAUUUCUGAAUUCAAGGUGUUGGACCACAACAAUAUUAAGGAGUUGGCACCUGAAUAUAUCUUGAAAAGAUGGACAAGGCAAGCAAAAUCAGGGCCAUCAUAUGCAAUUCAAAAGUGCGCUGAUGAUGAAGAUGUUAGAGUUGUGCUAGCUAGGCAGUAUGGAUCACUAUGUCGCACUUACAACAACAUUUCGAGCAAAGCAGCAGCAAACAAAGAGGCAUAUGCACUACUGCAAAGUAUGUCAAUAGAACUAAUGGAAAAGGUGGACCAGAUUUUACAUGGAAGCAACCAGUCGAAAGAUAUACCAUCAAAUCAUGAACAAGCUGAGAAACAAGCAGAGAACCAGCCAGUUGAAUGCAACAAUGAGAACGUUGUCCAAGCAAAAGGAAUAAGGAGAAAAGAAAAAGAAAAUAGCAGUAAGAGGAUUAAAUCUGGAUUGGAACUAAACAAAAAGAAUACACAGAAGAAAGGUCAAGCAACAACAUGCAAGAAUAGGAAUGGUGAUUGUGCUUCUGCCUCAACUGAAGCAAAUCCUAGCUUCACCAUGUCAAAUCAGUACUCCAACUUGCAAGUACUGCAGAGUGCCAGGCCUCUAGUACCACAUGCUACGAACUACAGUUUGCAAGUAUCGUCGCACGCUAUGCCUCCACUACCACAUGCUGCGAACUACAAUUCGCAAGUAUUGUCGCACGCUAUGCCUCCAAACCCACAAGCUGCGAACUACAAUUCGCAAGUAUUUCCGCGCACUAUGCCUCCGCAACCACAAGCUACAAACUCCAAUUUGCAAGUAUUGCCGCGUGCUAUGCCUCCGCAACCACAGGCAGAAAACUACAAAUUGCAUCUACUUCCUCAGACUAUGACACCAGUGCCACAACCACAGAAUUAUAAUUUGCAAGUAUUGCAUCACGGCCUGCCUCAACUACCGCAGGCAGAUGCUACUUCUUUUUAG